AUUGAACGCUGGCGGCAGGCCUAACACAUGCAAGUCGCGCGGAGCGGCAGACGGGUGCGUAAUGCUUAGGAAUCUGCCUGGUAGUGGGGGAUAACGUACGGAAACGGGCGCUUAUACCACUUACUAUCAGAUGAGCCUGGGCCGGAUUAGCUAUGUGGUGGGGUAAAGGCCUACCAAGGCGACGAUCCGUAACUGGUCUGAGAGGAUGAUCAGUCACACGGGAACUGAGACACGGUCCAGACUCCUACGGGAGGCAGCAGUGGGGAAGAUUGGACAAUGGGCGAAAGCCUGAUCCAGCCAUGCCGCGUGUGUGAAGAAGGUCUUCGGAUUGUAAAGCACUUUAAGUUGGGAGGCGUUACCAACAGAAUAAGCACCGGCUAACUUCGUGCCAGCCGCCGCGGUAAUUC
rnacentral:rRNA from 1 species